AGAGUUUGAUCAUGGCUCAGAAUCAACGCUGGCGGCGCGCUUAACACACGCAAGUCGCACGAGAAAGGGAGCAAUCCUAAGUAAAGUGGCGCACGGGUGAGUAACACGUGGAUUAUCUACCUUUUAGUGGGGAAUACCUCUGGGAAACCGGAGACAAUACCGCAUAAGCCCGCAAGGGGAAAGCAGCAAUGCGCUGAAAGAGGAGUCCGCGGCCGAUUAGCUAGUUGGCGGGGUAACGGCCCACCAAGGCGAAGAUCGGUAGCCGGCCUGAGAGGGCACACGGCCACACUGGCACUGAAACACGGGCCAGACUCCUACGGGAGGCAGCAGUGGGGAAUCUUGCACAAUGGGCGAAAGCCUGAUGCAGCGACGCCGCGUGAGCGAUGAAGCCCUUCGGGGUGUAAAGCUCUUUCGACGGGAACGAUAAUGACGGUACCCGGAGAAGAAGCUGCGGCUAACUACGUGCCAGCAGCCGCGGUAAUACGUAGGCAGCGAGCGUUGUUCGGAAUUACUGGGCGUAAAGAGUGUGUAGGCGGUGUUCCCAGUCUGUUGUGAAAUCUCCCGGCUUAACUGGGAGGGUGCAGCGGAAACUAGAAUGCUAGAGGGUGGGAGAGGUAAGCGGAAUUCCUGGUGUAGCGGUGAAAUGCGUAGAUAUCAGGAGGAACACCUGGUGUAGACAGCUUACUGGACCACUUCUGACGCUGAGACACGAAAGCGUGGGUAGCAAACAGGAUUAGAUACCCCCGUAGUCC
rnacentral:rRNA from 1 species